CUUUCCUCCUCCACGUUCCGUCAGUGCUUGCCGAAGCCCCUACCGACGUUCCGCUGCCACCACCACCACAACGUUGUCAUGUUGGUUCAGAUCUAAUCUACCUAUUCUUCCCCUCUUACUGGAUCAAGAAGAAGAUUAUGUCCUCGAACCGAACGUUUGCUAAUCUCGGAUGUGUCCCACGUGCGGUGCUUGGAUCUGGUUGUAUCGCGGUGCGAGUACGACUACGCCAACCACGAUGUUUAGCGUGAACGCUUUGGGUCUACAAGGUAUUGUGGAUGAGGCGGCCCGGAUCAACUUUACUUGUCAUCGCACAACAGACCGGUUCCACGACUGACAUGCAACUUCUAUUGCAUAAAGUGACUGGCGGUGCCAGCCAGUUGUCUGUCCUGCAAUCCCCUCUUCGGAUCUCCUUUGUUGGAGUGGCUUGUUUCUUGGACGAAAUUGCCACUUUAUUCUUGGAGGUAAAGAGUUAACCAUUGGCGCUUGUGGUCCAUGUACUUUGUAUCAACGUCAAAUAGUUUAUAAUAUGCAUGAGUAAUUAAAUGCAAAUUUGGCAAAUUGUAAUGAUGUUCAAUUGAUUAUUGCAUUGAUUCACUCUAUAAUAAUUAGUAUGACCUAUCUAAAAUGUGUACCCAUUUUAUUGAUACUAGUGAUUUGGCCUCUCUCCAACUCACUCUAAACCAACCCAUUCUAAUGUUAUUCUUUCUUUUUUGAAAAACAUCGACAACUUUAUUAAUUAGAAAUACAGGUUACAUCGUCUAUAAGAAGAGAUACAAUUUGUUCCAUAGGUUCCUCUAUCCAAUCCCUUGUGACAGAAUAUUUUGCAAGACUGGCAAGCUCAUGAGCUACUUUAUUCGCUUCUCUAUUACAAUGUUCAAAACUAGUAAGAGGAAAACUGCAAGCAAUCAUCA